CACUUGUCUAUUAAGCCAGUGCACGAGAUUUCCACCCUCCUCAAAAUCCCUCGGUCCACGGUUUCCGAUGUAAGAACGAAGUGGAAACGUGAAGAGAGGUGUACAACCCAAAAGCGUUCAGGCUGACCAUGUUAACCCCCAAAGACCGUCGGAUGUUGAUGAGGGUCGCACGGCAUAAUGGUCUAUCACCCCUCAUCACCAUCAUACAGGAUCUACUCUAAGCACCAUGAUUGUUCGGCGCGAGGUACGGGAACUUUGUUUCCAUGGAAGAGCAGCUGCCCAUAAGUAUAUGAGCAUAUUUUGACAACAAACUUAGAUGCAUCGAAUAG
rnacentral:lncRNA from 1 species